rnacentral:sRNA from 1 species
GCGUCGGCCGGGUCGACGGCGCGGGUCACGACCAGGUAGUCGCGCAGCACGAUGGAGUGGCGGUUGUC